rnacentral:rRNA from 1 species
AUUGAACGCUGGCGGCAUGCUUUACACAUGCAAGUCGAACGGCAGCGCGGGCUUCGGCCUGGCGGCGAGUGGCGAACGGGUGAGUAAUGCAUCGGAACGUGCCCAGUAGUGGGGGAUAGCCCGGCGAAAGCCGGAUUAAUACCGCAUACGACCUGAGGGUGAAAGCGGGGGACCGAAAGGCCUCGCGCUAUUGGAGCGGCCGAUGUCGGAUUAGCUAGUUGGUGGGGUAAAGGCUUACCAAGGCGACGAUCCGUAGCUGGUCUGAGAGGACGACCAGCCACACUGGGACUGAGACACGGCCCAGACUCCUACGGGAGGCAGCAGUGGGGAAGUUUGGACAAUGGGGGCAACCCUGAUCCAGCCAUGCCGCGUGCGGGAAGAAGGCCUUCGGGUUGUAAACCGCUUUUGUUCGGGAAGAAAUCCUCUGGGCUAAUACCCCGGGGGGAUGACGGUACCGGAAGAAUAAGCACCGGCUAACUACGUGC